rnacentral:rRNA from 1 species
AUUGAACGCUGGCGGCAGGCCUAACACAUGCAAGUCGAGCGGAUGAAGGGAGCUUGCUCCUGGAUUCAGCGGCGGACGGGUGAGUAAUGCCUAGGAAUCUGCCUGGUAGUGGGGGAUAACGUCCGGAAACGGGCGCUAAUACCGCAUACGUCCUGAGGGAGAAAGUGGGGGAUCUUCGGACCUCACGCUACCAGAUGAGCCUAGGUCGGAUUAGCUAGUUGGUGGGGUAAAGGCCUACCAAGGCGACGAUCCGUAACUGGUCUGAGAGGAUGAUCAGUCACACUGGAACUGAGACACGGUCCAGACUCCUACGGGAGGCAGCAGUGGGGAAUAUUGGACAAUGGGCGAAAGCCUGAUCCAGCCAUGCCGCGUGUGUGAAGAAGGUCUUCGGAUUGUAAAGCACUUUAAGUUGGGAGGAAGGGCAGUAAGUUAAUACCUUGCUGUUUUGACGUUACCAACAGAAUAAGCACCGGCUAACUUCGCG